rnacentral:tRNA from 1 species
CAUUAAAUGGCUGAGAGUAAGUACUGGUCUCUUAAACCAUAUUAUAAUAGAAUAACGCCUAUUUUUAAUG